rnacentral:rRNA from 1 species
UACGGGGGGGGCUAGCGUUGUUCGGAAUUACUGGGCGUAAAGGGCGCGUAGGCGGCCUACUAAGUCGGACGUGAAAUCCCUCGGCUCAACCGGGGAACUGCGUCCGAUACUGGUGGGCUCGAAUCCGGGAGAGGGAUGUGGAAUUCCAGGUGUAGCGGUGAAAUGCGUAGAUAUCUGGAGGAACACCGGUGGCGAAGGCGGCAUCCUGGACCGGUAUUGACGCUGAGGCGCGAAAGCUAGGGGAGCAAACGGG